CCAAAUCGGUGGGCCCACCACCAAACAUUAGUUUGGUUGGCUGUAUUGGUAUUACGGCCUGAAUCCAUUCCCUCCCUAUUACAGGAAAACGCUGAAUAGCCAUUCAUUGCCCACAUAUCGGAUUGGCUAUUCCAUCCGACUCUCUUUUUCCAUUUUCCAAUUUUUGCCCUCCUUCAUCUUCUCCUUCACUUUCUUGCCAUAUUUCAGAUUUUCUCAUUCAUCUUCUCCCACAGAUAUGUAAUUUUUUCUUCUUCUGUUCCCAUAUUUCAAGUAAUUUUUUUCUUUGAUUUUUCCAUUCUUUUUAACAUUUCUAUUCUGUGUUUUUUGUCGGUUUUUUAGCCAUGGUUCUCGAGGCUACUAUGAUAUGCAUUGAUAACUCAGAAUGGAUGCGAAACGACGAUUAUUCUCUGUCUCGAUUUGAAGCACAAGCAAGAGCUCAUAGGCUAGGCCAGAAGAAGGAUGUACUUGUUUUACGUUUUGAAACAGUUCAAAUUGUUGAAGAACAAGUCAGGGCUUCUGCUGAACACAAAUUGGCAGUUGCUAAUCAGAGUAUCACUGUCGGUUUCUUCGAUAAUAAUACAAGCUCAUGGUGACAAAUUUGCUGCGAAAAGAAUGAGAAGGCUGACCCAAAGGAGAGCUGUUGAUUAUACUAGUACUGUUGUGCGAUAUAUGCAGGAACUACAGUUCCAUCAAACACCACUACUGCAAUUCUUGCUGCUCCCAAUUUGUCGAAUCCCAUGGCUACAGUUGUUGGUGCUGCUUCAUACCCAUUGUCCAAUCCCAUAGUUUCAAUGGUAGACGGUGUAUCCUCCAAGGCAUUUGAUGAAGUACUGAAAGCAACACCACCUGCUUUGUCAGCAUUUUUGGCUGGCUUGCCUUCUAUCGAGGGUAAUCUUUCAAACUCCUACUGCAGUUGUGCAUGCUGCAAUAUCUAAUGCUGAUGGAUAUUAACCUAUAAUCUGUAGUUGAAUUUGAAUUAUGAUCCAAAAUGCAACAUAUCAAUGAUGAAAUACGGGGAUGCAUCUGCUUGAAUUUCUCUGUCUAGUUGGCCUUCUAAGUCCCUUCUAAUCUGGUAUCCUUGGAAAAUUAUUUGUUUUGCACUCUAGGCAUUUUAAUAUCGUAUUAGAAUAACUAGUUUAUAACUUUGGAGUAAUGAUUCAUUGUAAUUUUACCCAUUUUUAUAUAUUUCUUUAAUUUUUUAAUUCAUCACAAGGUUCAUGCCAUAGGGGCAAAGCUAGAAUAAAAAAAUAAAAAAGAACCUCAUUGAGGAAGAAAAUUCAGAGAAUAAGGUAAGAAAACCAAAAAAUAUAGCAACUGAGAGAAUAUACAGAGCUAUGUUUCUCCGACUCUUCAUUUUGCUUGAAGUAUCCCUUUUUUAUACCCCUGUCAGAGUCUUCAUUUUUCUUAAAGUAUCUGGUUUCAACACCCAUGCCCGACGAUGAAAGAACCUCUUUGAGAAAGUUAUACAAUAGAUUUUGUUGGAAAAUAUUUGAAGUGAAAAUUUUCAUCAUAGUUUCUGUCAAGAAUACAUUAAAUGGUAUAUGUACAUGUCCACACACAAAACCAUGUUACUUGGGUUCGGGGAAAGUGUCGAAUAAGGAUAUGGGUAUGUUUGGGAUGUGAUCCUUGUUUGAUACCCGUGUGGAUGCAUGUUUGGCCAUCGGUAUGGGAUAUGAUCCUUAAAGGAUUCUUCAAAUAUACAGAAAAACUUAGAGAAAACUGAAUAUUUCCAUAUCUGACACAUAUUCGUAUCUUGAUAUCCUUAUUUUUCAGGGUUUGUUCUUAUUUGAAUAGCCUUUGUUGUAGCUAUUUGCAAAAUCCUGGUGAUGAACACCUAAGCCUUCAGGUGACAGGGAUAGAUCCCUGGCCCUAAGGAACUCCCUUACCUAUGGUGGGAUAUAUCAUAUAUCCAACUGGCUUGAACACCAUAUAAUUUUAAAGAAAGCGUAGCUAACAUCAUGUAUUGAAAUGUAGCAAAUGAGAAGUCACCGUAGCUAGAUGAUGGUGAUUCAGGAUUUUCUCCCCGUGAUGAUGAUGGUGGUGGAGGUGGCGGGGGAGGUGGUGGGGGAAACUGGUCAGGUGAAUUCUUCCUUUUCGGAUUCCUCGCGUUUCUAGGCUUCCUAAAGGAUAAAGAAAGCGAAGAAGAUUACCGGGACAACCGAACAAAGAUGAUGAGAGAUUCUCUACAUAUUGAUAACAUUUUUAAAACCUAUAUUGCAUGUUGUUCUUCAUGUUAUAUACUUUUGAGAACCCAUUGCAUAUCGUUCUUCAUGAUAUAUUUCUAUUUUUGAAACCAA